rnacentral:rRNA from 2 species
GCACCUGAUUGAUUUUGGUCGCCAACGAGUGGCGGACGGGUGAGUAACACGUAGGUAACCUGCCCAGAAGCGGGGGACAACAUUUGGAAACAGAUGCUAAUACCGCAUAACAGCGUUGUUCGCAUGAACAACGCUUAAAAGAUGGCUUCUCGCUAUCACUUCUGGAUGGACCUGCGGUGCAUUAGCUUGUUGGUGGGGUAACGGCCUACCAAGGCGAUGAUGCAUAGCCGAGUUGAGAGACUGAUCGGCCACAAUGGGACUGAGACACGGCCCAUACUCCUACGGGAGGCAGCAGUAGGGAAUCUUCCACAAUGGGCGCAAGCCUGAUGGAGCAACACCGCGUGAGUGAAGAAGGGUUUCGGCUCGUAAAGCUCUGUUGUUAAAGAAGAACACGUAUGAGAGUAACUGUUCAUACGUUGACGGUAUUUAACCAGAAAGUCACGGCUAACUACGUGCCAGCAGCCGCGGUAAUACGUAGGUGGCAAGCGUUAUCCGGAUUUAUUGGGCGUAAAGAGAGUGCAGGCGGUUUUCUAAGUCUGAUGUGAAAGCCUUCGGCUUAACCGGAGAAGUGCAUCGGAAACUGGAUAACUUGAGUGCAGAAGAGGGUAGUGGAACUCCAUGUGUAGCGGUGGAAUGCGUAGAUAUAUGGAAGAACACCAGUGGCGAAGGCGGCUACCUGGUCUGCAACUGACGCUGAGACUCGAAAGCAUGGGUAGCGAACAGGAUUAGAUACCCUGGUAGUCCAUGCCGUAAACGAUGAGUGCUAGGUGUUGGAGGGUUUCCGCCCUUCAGUGCCGGAGCUAACGCAUUAAGCACUCCGCCUGGGGAGUACGACCGCAAGGUUGAAACUCAAAGGAAUUGACGGGGGCCCGCACAAGCGGUGGAGCAUGUGGUUUAAUUCGAAGCUACGCGAAGAACCUUACCAGGUCUUGACAUCUUGCGCCAACCCUAGAGAUAGGGCGUUUCCUUCGGGAACGCAAUGACAGGUGGUGCAUGGUCGUCGUCAGCUCGUGUCGUGAGAUGUUGGGUUAAGUCCCGCAACGAGCGCAACCCUUGUUACUAGUUGCCAGCAUUAAGUUGGGCACUCUAGUGAGACUGCCGGUGACAAACCGGAGGAAGGUGGGGACGACGUCAGAUCAUCAUGCCCCUUAUGACCUGGGCUACACACGUGCUACAAUGGACGGUACAACGAGUCGCGAACUCGCGAGGGCAAGCAAAUCUCUUAAAACCGUUCUCAGUUCGGACUGCAGGCUGCAACUCGCCUGCACGAAGUCGGAAUCGCUAGUAAUCGCGGAUCAGCAUGCCGCGGUGAAUACGUUCCCGGGCCUUGUACACACCGCCCGUCACACCAUGAGAGUUUGUAAC